AACGUAGGUGGCAAGCGUUAUCCGGAUUCACUGGGCGUAAAGCGCCUGCAGGCGGCUCGGUAAGUGGGAUGUGAAAUCUCCUGGCUCAACUGGGAGGGGUCAUUCCAUACUGUCGGGCUGGAGGGCAGAAGAGGAAAGUGGAAUUCCCGGUGUAGUGGUGAAAUGCGUAGAGAUCGGGAGGAACACCAGUGGCGAAGGCGACUUUCUGGUCUGCUCCUGACGCUCAGAGGCGAAAGCUAGGGGAG
rnacentral:rRNA from 1 species